GAUGUCACUUGGAGACUAUUGCUCUGCAAAGCGGGAGUUAAUGUAGGGAGUUCCACAAGAUUACAUACCGUCUCCAAUGCUUUUUAACAUCUACAUGAAACUGCUGGGAGAGGUCAUCAGGAGAUUUGGUGCAGGAGAUUUGGUGCAGUUACCAAUAUAAAUAUGCUGAUUCAUCAGGUUAUGGCUUAACUUCCCUAAAUGCCUGCCUGGAGGCAGUGAUGUGCUGGAUGAGGGAUAACAAACUGAAAAUGAAUCCAAAUAAGACAAAGGGAUGCACAUGUCAGGAGGUCUAGAAAUAUGACAAACAAACAAACCUAGAAGCAGACCAUGACACUAUCUUCCCCUGCUGUUGCUCCCAGUAACUGGUAUACUGUCUCUGAAGAUGGAGGUUCCAUAAAGCCAUCAGGGCCAAGCUGCUGGAAGACCUCUCAAUGGCUUUAAA